rnacentral:rRNA from 1 species
CAGCCGCCGCGGUAAUACGGAGGGGGCUAGCGUUGUUCGGAAUUACUGGGCGUAAAGCGCACGUAGGCGGUUUUGUAAGUCAGAGGUGAAAGCCCGGAGCUCAGCUCCGGAACUGCCUUUGAGACUGCAUCACUUGAACGUCGGAGAGGUGAGUGGAAUUCCGAGUGUAGAGGUGAAAUUCGUAGAUAUUCGGAAGAACACCAGUGGCGAAGGCGGCUCACUGGACGACUGUCGACGCUGAGGUGCGAAAGCGUGGGGAGCAAACAGGAUUAGAGACCCCGGUAGUCCCUGUCUCUUAUAC